AUUGAACGCUGGCGGCAGGCUUAACACAUGCAAGUCGAGCGGGGGGAGGUAGCUUGCUACCGGACCUAGCGGCGGACGGGUGAGUAAUGCUUAGGAAUCUGCCUAUUAGUGGGGGACAACAUCUCGAAAGGGAUGCUAAUACCGCAUACGUCCUACGGGGGAAAGCAGGGGAUCUUCGGACCUUGCGCUAAUAGAUGAGCCUAAGUCGGAUUAGCUAGUUGGUGGGGUAAAGGCCUACCAAGGCGACGAUCUGUAGCGGGUCUGAGAGGAUGAUCCGCCACACUGGGACUGAGACACGGCCCAGACUCCUACGGGAGGCAGCAGUGGGGAAUAUUGGACAAUGGGCGCAAGCCUGAUCCAGCCAUGCCGCGUGUGUGAAGAAGGCCUUUUGGUUGUAAAGCACUUUAAGCGAGGAGGAGGCUCCUUUAGUUAAUACCUAAAGAGAGUGGACGUUACUCGCAGAAUAAGCACCGGCUAACUCUGUGCCAGCCGCCGCGGUAA
rnacentral:rRNA from 1 species